GGGGAGGGGUGAUUGGGGAGCCACUACCAAUCCCAUUGCAGAUUGCUGAUAGGGUGGCCAAAUUUAAAGGACAGGCAAUGUGGAAAGUCAGCUGGGGUCCUUGUAGCACCAGUUAGCCGUUUGGCUAGUACCCGUGUGGGGCUGGGUGUCCUGUGGUGUAGCUCUUUCUUGCAAUUGAAGAACUGUUUGCCGGAUGGAAUAAAUUCAGGACCAUCAUGUAUUUGUUUGGCUGUGCACCUUAAAGGUGUCAGCAAACAAGAACAUUCACAUACCGUGCAGAACUGGAUGCCCCGGACACUGUUGCCGAGUUUGUCCAGUGGAGGAGACCAGCACAUGAUGCCCAUCACAUUGGGCACAACCAGCAGAAUACCACCAGCCACACCUGACUUGGCCGGAAGACCCACCUGAACAAAAUAAAAAAAAAUACAUUAACAUUACAAAUUAUAUACAGAUAAAUAUGACAACUAUAAUUGAAGAUGUUGUGUUUGGGUGGAAGAUUCUGAGUGGGGCUCACUAAGAAUAAAUACUGUGGUUUAUUUUCAUGUUCUAAAAUUAGCUUGAUUUGCAUUUAAAUAAGGUGUGUUUGCCAAUAAAAAAUGCAAACCACAGUUAUGUUGGAAAUAAGCUUGAAUAAGCCUGAAAUACUGCAUGCUAAGUUUUAAGUGGAUCUGACUUUGAAUUUGAAAAAAGUGUACUUUAAUUAAAAAAAAAAAUGGACACAAAUAUUCUCUAAAAAAAGUUUAUGUGGACUUUAAGAGCAUACAAAAAACUUUGGAUUUGUAAAAAGCAAUCGACAAUUAAAAACAUGCUUUUUUAUGUC